rnacentral:misc_RNA from 1 species
GAUGAAGAACGCAGCGAAAAGCGAUAAGUAAUGCGAAUUGCAGAUUUCAGUGAGUCAUCGAAUCUUUGAACGCACAUUGCGCCCGCCAGUAUUCUGGCGGGCAUGCCUGUUCGAGCGUCAUUUCAACCAUCAAGCCCCCGGGCUUGCGUUGGGGCCCUGCGGCUGCCGCAGGCCCCGAAAAGCAGUGGCGGGCUCGCUGUCACACCGAGCGCAGUAGCGAUUCUCGCUCCGGGCGUCGGCGGCGGGCACCGGCCGUGAAACCCCCCCACAUCCACAAGGUUGACCUCGGAUCAGGUAGGAAUACCCGCUGAACUUAAGCAUAUCAAUAAGCGGAGGA